AUGCAUCUAUUUUUGACAGACCUAGAACAGUUAAUAUCUGCUGUUAAGAUUUCCACCACAGAUGCAAGAAAAAAGUGUUCUUAUGCUUUCUGUCUGUUUGAUUGUGGCAGCUAAGACGGAAUGGGGGGAUACAGGA